rnacentral:snoRNA from 1 species
AUUCCAUGGUGCGGGCAGUCUGAUAUGUAUCCUUAAAAGUGCUCCCAUGCUUCUAGAAUAGGUUCACCUUUCUGCUGCUGCUGGAAUUCUAAAAUCUUCCCUCGUAAGAUA